AUACGGAGGAUGCAAGCGUUAUCCAGAUUUAUUGGGCGUAAAGGGUGCGUAGGCGGAUGAUUAAGCGUGAGGUGAAAUGCCACUGCUCAACAGUGGAACUGCCUCGCGAACUGGUUGUCUUGAAUGCUCCAGCCGGGGGAGGAAUGUGUGGUGUAGCGGUGAAAUGCAUAGAGAUCAGACAGAACACCGAUUGCGAAGGCAUCUCACGAAGGGGUGAUUGACGCUGAGGCACGAAAGCGUGGGGAUCAAACAGGAUUAGAUUCCCUGGUAGUGCGCACGGUAAACGAUGAUUACCCGCUGUCGGCGGCAGACAGUCGGCGGCCAAGCGAAAGCGAUAAGUAAUCCACCUGGGGAGUACGCCGGCAACGGUGAAACUCAAAUGAAUUGACGGGG
rnacentral:rRNA from 1 species